UAUUCUUGGAAGUAGCAUUGAACUGUUUUGAAACAGAACGUCGGCGAAACAUGUCUAGGAUACCGUCAACUUUAUCCUUUAACUCGUAUUUUUCUUACUACCAUGGAGAGAUACAAGAAAGAUGACCUAUCCGGUGUUUAUACUACAUGAAUGAGAUUUAUUAGGACACUGCCAGAGGGUUAGAGGCUUGACAUCCACCCACAUCUCAGCAGAACAGGAUAAAACUUCCCUCGACAAACUCUCCCACAAGAUAGACUGGCAAAGAUAGGAUCAUCAUCACAUCAGGGGGAAGUGUACAAAUGUGCCUGUAAAUGUUUCUGACAACAAGAAAGCCUCUGCUAAAGAAGUCAGCUAUAGAGAAGUGUUCAUUCAAGUAUAAAGAAACCUGUAAACCCUGCAUCAGUGAAUUUAACGUCUAUUAGGUUCAGUUUAACACCCACUUCCAGCAUAAGUGUGGUGAUAUCCAUUAGACAAAUUGAUCUGUCUAAGCAACAAAGCCAAAUUCCCACGAGCUGUGUUUAAAUGUCUCUUCAUUUCGAUCACACUUGAUUCAGUUUGUGUCUCUGAUGUCGAAGUGAUGCAAAGGGUUUGUUUUGAGCAUCAUCGUCGCCGACUAUUUUGGAUCUCUUCAGACUGAUGUGGACUCCAGAUUCAGAUUUCAGAUGCUGCACUAAGCAGAAGCUCCUAAGGUCUUCUAGAGAAGCGUCACUCGGACCCCAACAUGAACGGC